rnacentral:lncRNA from 1 species
GGAUGAGUCACACAGGAGGCUUCAUGAUUCACUCAGAGCUCACAUGCAGACAGCUCUGACAAUGUCAACUGAAGAGAAGACACCCAGGAGAGUAAAGCUUGCGUCCUGCUACCCUUUGGUGACCUUCGUGACCUGGCCAAAGUCUACUUCCCAGACUUCUGACUAUGGAAAGAUGGGGUAGAUGUGUUGUGCUUCUCUAGUUUGGACACCACUGGGUGCAGACGUAAGACCCAACACAAGCCUGCUGGCUCCAGCUAAUGCACCAUCAAAGCAGUAGCCACCUUCCAAGACCAAGGUACUCUAGAUAGAAACUGUUCUAUUCCAGUCAAAUAUCAAAUAAAAGUCUAAAGUCCAUAAGGCCAACAACAGUACGACAGUAUGUUUACCCUCUCUAGGUUGUAACAUGGCAUCUAACCACACUUGCAUUCAGUGUGGUUCCCAAGGAACGCACUAAAGGGAGUUCAGACAUCUGUACCUCUGUUAUCUAAAAAGAGGGCAAGUCUCCAACACUCUGAGUUCCCACAUCAAAAAUCUAUGAAGGCAAAAGAAAAAAAUAACCUGAGGAAACUGAAGAAAGAAAACAGUAUAGAUAAGAACGUAUAUCAGUGACACUGAAAACUUAAAAGCAAUAGAGAAAAUCGGACUCUCAGAGAGGGUCAACAAAAUGGGCAGACAUCUAGCAGGACUGACAGAAGUGGGAAGACACCGACCAGCAACAUCAAAGAUGGAACGGGUACUGCUCCAGAGCUCAGACAUGAAAAGGACAAGAGGAGUCACCACAGUCAACACCCCACACUCACCCAGAAUGUCAGGCAUUUCUACUAUGUAUUCGAGGCUAGCUCAUUGUGUGAAAAUCAAUCAGCAUAAUCCACAGCAAAAAUUAAAGAACAACUACAUAGCCAUUUUAAUUUAUUUGUGUGUGUGUGUGUGUGUGUGUGUGUGUGUGUGUAGACAGACACAUACACAUGAACACAUGCAUACAUACAUGCACAUGCCCACAUAAGCCAGAAGGCAGCACCGGUUUCUCUAGAACUGGAGUUUCAGGCUGUUGGGAGCCAUCUGACGUGUGUGCCAGGAUAUCAGCAGGGAUAUAGCAUGUUCUUAAUUGGACAAUUUGACUUAAUAAAGAUAUGGGUCUAAGUCCCUAAUGCCAGCUUAGAAAAACCAUGUCUAUGGGCUUCCCACAGCUCCCUCCCUGUUCCUCCUCUUCAGGGAUGCUCCCCUGGCUUUUUGGGAGUCAGAGAAUUCUCUUUUUUAUUUCUGUAUCUAAUUGCCUGUGCCCUACCACAUCAGGUGUCGAGAUAUCUGAGGUAACAAUGUCAGCACAUUGUCAUCAGGUCAGAGGUCACCACAUCAGGGGUCACCAAGUUCCUGAGGGGGAGAGCACUAUGGAAACCAUUUCCAAGGACAUAGCAGAAAAGAGAGACGCUCGCUCUGUAAGAGGCAGAGGAUUUUUUCCCCUUAGAAGUACUUUAAAAGGAAAAUUUUGUGUUUUUACUUACAUUUUAUAUUUUGCGCAUAUUGUUAGGAUUUAUGUGUUCCCUGACUCUCACAAAGCUUCAGGCAUUUUAAAAAAUGAUGUUGGGUGAUCAAACAUGCCUCGGAACACCACAACCUCACCUUUUCAUCUACUUUGCUGUACCAUAGGGCAGGUAGCAUCCCAAGAUUGUUAAGAGGGACCAAAGGAGGAUACAAGAUCGCUUUGUAUUUCUCUCUCUCUCUCUCUCUCUCUCUCUCUCUCUCUCUCUCUCUCUCUUUGUCUAUGAUGUUUGAUGGAUGUGUGAAAUAAUGUCCAGCAUUAAACAAGACUUUUGAUUUU